AAGUCAUCAUGGCCUUACGACCAGGCAACACACGUGCUACAAUGGUCGGUACAAAGGGUUGCUACACAGCGAUGUGAUGCUAAUCUCAAAAAGCCGAUCGUAGUCCGGAUUGGAGUCUGCAACUCGACUCCAUGAAGUCGGAAUCGCUAGUAAUCGCGGAUCAGAAUGCCGCGGUGAAUACGUUCCCGGGCCUUGUACACACCGCCCGUCACACCAUGGGAGUUUGUUGCACCAGAAGUAGGUAGUCUAACCGCAAGGAGGACGCUUACCACGGUGUGGCCGAUGACUGGGGUGAAGUCGUAACAAGGUAACCGUA
rnacentral:rRNA from 1 species